GCCGCGGUGGUGGAAUGGUAGACACGCGGGACUUAAAAUCCCGUGGCUUCGGUCGUGAGGGUUCGAUUCCCUCCCGCGGCACCA
rnacentral:tRNA from 2 species